rnacentral:rRNA from 1 species
AGUCUUUCUGCCCAUUGUUUUUAAAAGGCUGCGGUAAUUUAACUGUACAAAGGUAGCAAAAUAAAUAGUUUUUUAAUUGAAAACUAGAAUGAAAGAAUUGAUAAAAUAUAAAUUGUCUCAAUUUAUAAAUUUAAAUUUUAAGUUAAAGUGCUUAAAUUUAUUUAUGGGACGAUAAGACCCUAAGAAUUUGAUAAUUUUAUUUAUUAUAAUAUUUAAAUUUAAAUAAAAUUAUUUUAUUGGGAGGAUAAUUAAAUUGAACUUUAAUUUUUAGUAACAUAUAUAAAUUUAAAUGAUUAUUUUAAAGAUUAAAAGAAUAAAUUACCUUAGGGAUAACAGCGUAAUAAUUUUGGAGAGUUCAUAUUUAUAAAAUUGUUUACGACCUCGAUGUUGAAUUAAAAUAAAAAUUAAAUGGAGAUAUUUAAAUUUUUAGUCUGUUCGACUAUUAAAAUUUUAC